rnacentral:rRNA from 1 species
UGGGGAAUAUUGCACAAUGGGCGCAAGCCUGAUGCAGCCAUGCCGCGUGUAUGAAGAAGGCCUUCGGGUUGUAAAGUACUUUCAGCGGGGAGGAAGGGAGUAAAGUUAAUACCUUUGCUCAUUGACGUUACCCGCAGAAGAAGCACCGGCUAACUCCGUGCCAGCAGCCGCGGUAAUACGGAGGGUGCAAGCGUUAAUCGGAAUUACUGGGCGUAAAGCGCAUGCAGGCGGUUUGUUAAGUCAGAUGUGAAAUCCCCGGGCUCAACCUGGGAACUGCAUUCGAAACUGGCAGGCUAGAGUCUUGUAGAGGGGGGUAGAAUUCCAGGUGUAGCGGUGAAAUGCGUAGGGAUCUGGAGGAAUACCGGUGGCGAAGGCGGCCCCCUGGACAAAGACUGACGCUCAGGUGCGAAAGCGUGGGGAGCAAACAGG